rnacentral:snoRNA from 1 species
CCAACGUGGACAUCCGGUGAGGUUGCUCUCGCAUGGCUCUGUCCUUGUACUACGCUCCCAUACGCCACUUCACAGUGCUGUGACGUACAGUCCCGUUCCACGACGUUGGAGAGCAAGCUUUGUCCCCGGCCUUCGGGCUGGUGAGGACGGCGUUCUGUAUAUUCCUACAUCUUCCCAGAGCCCUUUGGGCCAUGACUGGGGGGCUAAACCAUGCAGUGUACAAUU